ACCUGUGAAAUUAUGAACCCUUAUUGUAUACUGUAUGUAUUUUAAAUCUGCAAUUCAAUAUAAAAUAUAUUUCCAUACACUACUUACCUUAUGUUUACUCGUCGAUCUCACCAAAGCCACACUCUAAAAAAUGCUGGGUUGGUUUUUUAACCCAAAUGCUGGGUUGAGACUGCUGGGUAACAAAAUUGGGUUGAUUCAACCCAAUUUGGGUUGAAAAUCGAUCUUUAUCUAUAACCCAGCAGUGCUGGGUUGGGAACGCGGACGUGAAAGAGAGCACGCACGUCACGUCAACAUGCAGGGACAUCAACGUGAGAAACCGCCAUUUUCUUUGCGCUGUCUUUGAGGGGAAGCGAGUGAAAUUCUGUGUGAGACGUAAGUUAUUUAGUGUGUUUUUAACAAUUUUCAUAAGAAAUAACACACUUAGUUUACUUAGUAUAAUAUACACGCGCUUUUUUUUCUGUUUCUCCGCCUGAUGGCCGACUUGUUGCUCCGCCUCACGCUGACCUGUGCUCGCCUUAUGGCUGAACUGUUGCUCCGAGUCCGCCUGACGAGCCACCUGUUUCUCCGGAUCUGUUUCUCCGCCUAACGGCGACGUGUUUCUCCGGACCUGUUUCUCCGCCUAACGGCGACCUGUUUCUCCGGACCUGUUUCUCCGCCUAACGCCCGAGCUGUUGCUCCGCCUAACUCCUGACCUGUGCUCGCCUCACGCCCGACAUGUUGCUCCACCUCACGCCCAGCCUGUUGAUCGGUGGACGGGUAAGCGCGCAUGGCAUCGGAAGGAGCUCGAAAAGUAUAAGGUGAUGACAGUAAGUAACGUUACUGUGAUUUGUGAUCUUUCUGGGGUGUUAACUGUAAAGCAAUGGAUAAUUGCGUGAAAAUCAAACUAAAAGAAUGCAAUCUUGAGGAGUUAAUCCCCACAUUUGAAGCACAGGAGCGAACCUUUCCUCGUUUUUAGGUCAAUUUGAAUACAAUUCAGAGGGGUGGCAUGGGGGCGCAGUGGGUAGUGCUGUCGCCUCACAGCAAGAUGGUCGCUGGUUUGAGCCUUGGAUGGGUUUCCCCUCCACAGUCCAAUGACAUGCGGUGUAGCUGAAUUGGAUUGGGACCAAUAUUGCUGAGUAUCUUCAUCCAUUGAAUUCAAGAAUCUAUUGAGUUUCCUCAUGUUCUCAUCCUUGGAGACCACCACUUCUUUCAAGCCUUUGCUCACGUGCUGUGCUAUUUAUUAUUGCAAAGUACAUUACUUGCCAAAGUGGACGUUUGCUAUAAAGCAUUCUACAUCUUUGGUGUGAACUACCCCAAGCAGUGUUCCCUGGUGUGGCAGACUGUGGUUUAUGGACAUCCUGGGGAGGAGACACUAGCAGUAAGGGUUCUGCUAGCAUUAAUUUUUGCUGACAAACAGUAAUAAUUAAUACUGUGACCUCACUGCUUCCUUGGAUUCUGUGUUCUUUACUUGUACUUUGGAUUGUGGGGGAAAAGGAGCACCCAGAGAAAACCCACACGAACACGGGGAAAACAUGCAAACUCCACACAGAAACACCAACUGACCCAGCUGAGGCUUAAACCACCGACCUUGUUGCUGUGAGGCAAUCGUACUACCCACUGUGCCACCAUGACACCCAUUUCUAAAGAAUAGUUUUAAUAACUCAUUUCUAAUAACUGAUUUCUUUUCUCUUUGCUAUGAUGACGGCACAUAAUAAUGGACUCGAUAUUUUUUAAGACACUCUACACUGCAGUUACAUUGCAACUAAUGUUUCUUACAGACUCUUUUAUAUCUCAGGAUUGAUGUUUGCACAUGAUUGUUCGAGUAAAAGUUAAAAAAAGUUUUCCUAUUUCAAAUUUGUUUUAAAAUGCUUCCAUCCUCAGGUUUCAUUUUAACUUUUAUAUCUGUUUUUUCUUCAAAACUGCAUUUACAUUGAACUUGAUCAUCCUUACUGAUGAUUGCUUUAUAUCUCAUAUAUUGAUGUUUGCACAUAAUUGUUAAAGGGAAAGUUAUAAAAUGUUUUCUUAUUUUUUCUUAAUAUAAAAUUUGUAUUUUCUUAGUUUUUAUUGUUUGUUUUGUUUUUUCAAGCUGUUUGAUGCCUUUUCAUUAUUACUUUCACAUAUUUUUUUCUGCAUUGCAGUUGAUGAUUUAUAUGAGAAUAUGUUGAUGUUUGUGCUCAAAUUACUUUCUGACUUCAGUCAUUUAGAUGCAUUUUCAUUAUUACUUCCUUAUACUAUUGUUUUUCUCUACUCUGCAAUAACAUUGCAAUUGACUUACUGAUGAUUCCUGAUUUAUAAAUGAUGCAAAUGUUUUUGAAUGUAUUUCAAAUAUGCAUUUUCUUAAGGUAAUUUGUCUCAUUUCAGUCUGAUGCAUUGUUACUGAACUUUAGUCAGUGUUUCUGUGAUACAGUUUGAUAAAUUUUCACAGAAAUCGUCUUAACCCUUU
ensembl:processed_transcript